rnacentral:lncRNA from 1 species
AAGAACAAGGAAAGAAGAGAGAAAGAGGAAAAAAGAAGAAGGGAUAAAGGAAGAAGAAGAGAGAAAGAGGAGGAAACCACCACCACCACCAUGUCAUCAUGUCAUCUUCAUCAUCACCAUCACCACUUUCUACUCACCGUCUUCACCAUCUCCAUGGGUCCAAGGUGAGUUCUUAGAUAAAUUUAGCCUUGGGGAGGGGAAGAAUUUC